ACACUUACCUGGCAUGGAAGAUACCAUGAUUAUGAAGGUGGUUUUCUCUGGGUGAAGCUCCUCUGUUGCACUCUGGGUGUGCUGUCCCCUAUGAUUUCCUUAAAUGUGAAAUUUUUGACUGUAUAAUUUGUGGUUGUGCAGAAACACGUGCUCUCCC
ensembl:snRNA U1 U1 spliceosomal RNA